rnacentral:rRNA from 1 species
GACGAACGCUGGCGGCGUGCUUAACACAUGCAAGUCGAACGGAAAGGCCUCUUUCUGGUGGUACUCGAGUGGGGAGCGGGUGAGUAACACGUGAGUAGCCUGCCCUUUACUUUGGGGUAACUUCAGGAGACUAGGGCUAAUACCGGCUAGGAGCUCCUGCUGCCUGGUGGGUUUUGGAAAGUUUCGGCGGUUGGGGAUGGACUCGCGGCUUAUCAGCUUGUUGGUGGGGUAGUGGGUUACAAAGGCUCUGACGGGUAGCCGGCCUGGGAGGGGUAACGGGCCCCAUGGGACUGCGGGAAGGACCAGAAGUCUACCGGAGGCAGCAGGGGGGAAUAUUGCAAAAUGGGGGGAAGGCUGAGGCAGCAACGCCGGGGGCGGGAUGACCGGCUUCGGGUUGUAAACCGCGUUGGGUCAGGAAGGAGCUUUGAGUGACGGUAGUGGGUAAAGAAGCACCGGCUAACUACGUG